GAGUUUGAUCUUGGCUCAGGAUGAACGCUAGCGGCAGGCUUAACACAUGCAAGUCGAGGGGUAGAGGAAGCUUGCUUCCUUGAGACCGGCGCACGGGUGCGUAACGCGUAUGCAAUCUGCCUUGUACUGAGGGAUAGCCCAGAGAAAUUUGGAUUAAUACCUCAUAGUAUAUAACCUUCGCAUGUUGGUUAUAUUAAAGUUCCAACGGUACAAGAUGAGCAUGCGUCCCAUUAGUUAGUUGGUAAGGUAACGGCUUACCAAGACGAUGAUGGGUAGGGGUCCUGAGAGGGAGAUCCCCCACACUGGUACUGAGACACGGACCAGACUCCUACGGGAGGCAGCAGUGAGGAAUAUUGGUCAAUGGGCGCAAGCCUGAACCAGCCAUGCCGCGUGCAGGAUGACGGUCCUAUGGAUUGUAAACUGCUUUUAUACAGGAAGAAACCACCCCUUCGUGAAGGGACUUUGACGGUACUGUAGGAAUAAGGAUCGGCUAACUCCGUGCCAGCCGCCGCAGU
rnacentral:rRNA from 1 species